rnacentral:rRNA from 1 species
AUGUUUUCGAAGCUGGGGGAUUUGUAUACAAUUAGUAUCUUUAUUACCAACACAAUCGUCAUGGUCGUGGUCAUGGCAGCAGUCAUCGAGGUCUUCACAGCGCCACCGCUCUCCUUCUGCGUCUCCACCAAGUUUAAAGACGGCGCGACAGCAGCGAACCUAUCACCGGCAUUUAGGUUUGUCAACUUUCAUGCUGCCAUGAUGACCAACUUCGCCCCGGGUUUCAACUUCUUCAGUUGCGUGAUGGCGGUUGCCUCGCUCUCCCUUGAAAACACCCCGAUGGCCAUGGUCGCCCCUGCCUUGCCCGCCGGCUUGGUCGCCAUCGCAAGCAUCACCUUCCCGUCCAGCCCAUGCUAACCAACCGUCUCCCACGACCCGCUCCACAACUACUCUGCUCCUGCUUCCAUGAAAACGCAAUAUAUUUCAUAUUCACCAAGAAGCAACAGAAGUUAG